GGGUUGUAGACUGAAUCUACUCAAGAAUUUCCUCCUCGUUGGACUUCCAAAUAUUUCCAUAAAUAGAAAAUUCCUUUUAUCUACUGAAAAAUCUUCUUUUGUUCCUUUUAAUAAAAUAGGAUGUGGGAUGGAAAAGGCCACAUGUUUCUAUCUACAAAAUGUAAUGAAGAAAUAUUAGCGCCUAGAUUUUCCAAUCCAAAUUUGAAAUCAGGUUUGCAUUUUCCAAUCCAAGCACAGCUAAAAUACCUGGCCAUUAGUUCGACCC
rnacentral:lncRNA from 1 species